GAUGAAGAACGCAGUGAAAUGCGAUACGUAAUGUGAAUUGCAGAAUUCAGUGAAUCAUCGAAUCUUUGAACGCACAUUGCGCUCUCUGGUAUUCCGGAGAGCAUGCUUGUUUGAGUAUCAGUAAACACCUCAACUUCCAUAUCUUUUUUGAAAUGGGAGUUGGACUUGAGUGAUCCCAACGCUUUUCCUCACCGAAAAGUGGCGGGUUACUUGAAAUGCAGGUGCAGCUGGACUUUUCUCUGAGCUAUAAGCAUAUCUAUUUAGUCUGCCUAAAAAACAGAUUAUUACCUUUGCUGCAGCUAACAUAAAGGAGAUUAGUUCUUGUGCUGACUGAUGCAGGAUUCACAAAGACAGGCUUCGGCCGACUUUGUAAACUCGAUCUCAAAUCAAGUAAGACUACCCGCUGAACUUAAGCAUAUCAAUAAGCGGAGGA
rnacentral:misc_RNA from 1 species